AAAGUACUCCCUCCGUCCCAAAAUUCUUGUCUUAGAUUUGUCUAGAUACGGAUGUAUCAAGUCACAUUUUAGUAUUAGAUACAUCUGUAUGUAGACAAAUCUAAGACAAGAAAUUUGGGACAGAGGGAGUAGUUG
rnacentral:pre_miRNA from 1 species